GAUCUCGUGAGAGUCCGUCCGAAGGAAGCCUAAGCGCAAAGCUAUGAGCCGACGAACAGAAAUGGCAUAUAAGGCCGAGUCUCCGGGCAAGUCAGCACAACAUGACAAAACCCUGGAUUUAGGAGAUACGGUAAAUGCCGCAGUUGCAUAGCGAAAGAUCACGUU
rfam:Deltaproteobacteria bacterium RIFOXYD12_FTLL_50_9 rifoxyd3_full_scaffold_2078, whole genome shotgun sequence.